UGGGGUGCAGCAGGCGCGAAAACUUUACAAUGCUGGCAACAGCGAUAAGGGGACCUCGAGUGCCAGGAUACAAUCUUGGCUGUCGCGAUGCCUAAAAAGCAUUGCAUAGCAAGGGCCGGGCAAGACCGGUGCCAGCCGCCGCGGUAACACCGGCGGCUCGAGUGGUAACCGCUAUUAUUGGGUCUAAAGGGUCUGUAGCCGGCCGGAUAAGUCUUUUGGGAAAUCCAGCUGCUCAACAGUUGGGCUUUCAGAAGAUACUGUUCGGCUCGAGACCGGGAGAGGUGAGAGGUACUUCAGGGGUAGGGGUGAAAUCUUGUAAUCCUUGAAGGACCACCAGUGGCGAAGGCGUCUCACCAGAACGGAUCUGACGGCAAGGGACGAAAGCUAGGGGCACGAACCGGAUUAGAUACCCGGGUAGUCCUAGCCGUAAACGAUACUCGCUAGGUGUCAGCCACGGUGCGACCGUGGUUGGUGCCGUAGGGAAGCCGUGAAGCGAGCCACCUGGGAAGUACGGCCGCAAGGCUGAAACUUAAAGGAAUUGGCGGGGGAGCAC
rnacentral:rRNA from 1 species